ensembl:lncRNA
CUUUCAUAGCACUUCUAUAAGUAUUUCUGCUUACUACUUUUGCUUCUAUGUUCAUGCUCAGAUGAAUUACUACACAUACCACAACAUAUUUAGCUUCAGGCCAAUGUACAUGUGUGAGUACCAUCUGAUUGGAUAACUUCUAUACUUGCAACGAUCACAGAAUUUCAGGUUUCGGUAAACUGCAAACAGUUUAUAUGUCUUACAGACUAUGGAACCUUUCUCUUUGCCUCGGAUGAAAUCCACUGAUUCCAAGAAAAUGAAUACAUUAUUUGUGGAAGCAGGAAAGUGAUGAAUCUGGAACUAGUAAUGUGCUACUCGUUUUGAAGUCCUCAUGACCUACUCCUGAAUUCUCAUCACCUGUUCUGUGCUGCGGCAUUAGAAACCACAAUGGAAUGCUUGCACUGACAUAAGAAAGAGAACAAAGAUUUGUAUUGGUUUAAGCUGAAUAUCAAACUACACUUUAAGCUGUAAGGCACUUAAACUGGCAAACAAACAAGGGCUAAAGGCUGAAAGACCAGUUCCUAAGUUUGGCCCUAGGCCACGUCUGUGAAAAUGUUCUGAAGCUAUUCAGAAGAGACAAAUAAGAAGAGAUAAAUGUGACAAAUCUCAGGAACACUUUCCUUUUGUAACCGCUUUUGGAGCGAUGUGUCAAUAAAAACAAAAGUUUCAAAUUGGAUUACCGCUACCUACUGGCAGGGAUUAGGUAAAAUGUUAAGACAAAUGGGUAUAUUGAGUAAUAGCCUUCAAUUUUGUGAAAGAAACAAGCUCUACAGUUCUUUUUAUUUAAUUAAUAAAUCAACAAGUUACAACUGAACAAGUGUAGCUCAAAACACUUCUUUAGGUAACACAUACAAGUCUGUACAGUCUCUUGCUGCCUUUGGCUUUAUCUAGUACCCAAAUGAAUAAACAGCCAAAACAUUAGUAUUUCCUCAGAGGGGUGGGGGGGGGGGGGAAAGAAUGAAAGAGUAAACCUUUGAUCCAGAUUUGGCUGAAGAUUGAAUACAGCUGUGACCACAGCAGUUUUCAAUUUUUUUUUUUAUUACUCCCAAGUUCUGACAAAUGACUGUGUGCAUUCCCUGUAUAUAGUAGUUUCCAUCAUCUUCUUUCUUUGACUUUUUUUAAUGUAAAUGAGCCAGAGGGCUUUAAUGUGAUUACAAAUAAAGCAGAGCGAACUUACUCAACACUUGCAGUAAUAGUGGACUGAAACACUAUUUUUAAUUCAAUAAAAAUUUCAGAAAUAGUUGCAUUUUCAGGCUUGCAAAGCAAAACUUUUUCUGACAGAGAGAGAACUUGUCAUUUAUCUAGAAGUAUGUACCAAUGCAUUUAAAAGUGUUAACAAAGAUGCAGUCAGCAAAACAAUGCACAAUUAUUUGGCAAUUAGAAAGCAAUACAUUAAAGUACAGUUUAGAAUAGCUUUUAUGUUGAUAAUAGUGAAGGUAGUGUAGGAGAAAUAUUUUAGGGAACAUCUCCAGUUUGAAAAAUGAAGUUUGGGUAAAUAAGACUAUCCGUGUACUUUUUAAGUUAAUACUUCAUGACUCUUCCGUGGGUUUUUCUGCAUUUCGGUUAGUCUGGACCUGGUUUUGCUCAGUAGGAUUAAAUGUCACAGUUACGUUGCAUUUCUACAGUGAUAUUCCUGCUGAGUUACGUUUUUUUAGGUUUUCUGACGAGAUGAAUUGGAAUCCUGCUACCUCCCUAUUAGUAAUAAUGGACAAUUAUCUGACCUGGACAGGGAGAUGUCCUUAAAACGGUGCUUGUGGGAGAGAAUGUUAAAGAUGUAAACGCAAAUGAUGUUGAGAGCAAGAGUGAAAUGAUUGGAAAUGCCUCUAGAUACAGUAAAAAGGGAAUUUGAGUACCUAUGAUGGAGAAGUGUCUGCUUCAUGAAUAUAGACAGCUUAUUUUCUUCAAAAUCCUUUUUUUCACCUUCUUCUCAAAAUGAUAGCUGUAUGUGUUGUCUUGUGUGAACUUGGAUAUUUAUUUUCAUUUUAACAUGGUCCUUGGAAAGAGUUGAAAAUAAGAUAUAUUUUGUGGAGAUGUUUGCUGAGUAGUUAUCUUCUCUUAUACUGUCAAACUGGUUUGGAAAGACAGAUCCUGAGUGCUCAAGGAGAUCUUGCAUCUUUUAGAACAACAAACUUAAAUGUCAAGAGUGCACUAUUGAUCAAAACAUCAGCAGGCUGACAACGCAGCAGCCACUUGACAAUAGAGAAAAAAAUUACUCCUGUCCAUGCUAUGUAAAGCCCUUCAUCAGAUUUUCAGUCUUCCUAGAAGUAUACUUAUCAUCUAGCUCUGGCAGACAAUAAGAAGAUGUGCUAUGAAUAAACUUACUGUCACUUGCAAUUAUGCUCUUCUUGGACUAUUAAAAAAGCAGACAGCAGUCUGGCAGAAGCCAGUCUCCGACAUCUUGAUAACCUGACCAAACUGCCUAAGAACUAAAGGCUGGCCAUCAAGGCUAAGAACUGAUAUGUUUCUACAUGAGUUCCACUGCUGAUAUAUUACUCAGCAUGCCACUAUGAAUCACGACCAGAAAUGCAACAGCUCCUUUUCUAGGGCUUCACUUGGCCUCCCGGCUGACCAGUUGUGACUGCUACGCAUCUCCACCUUCAGCUUCUUUCAUGUCUUCCUCAUAAGCCACCUCAGAACCUGUUUACAGUAUUAAAUUUCUGUGAUUACUGUCCGCUUGCUUGGGUGCUGAGCACAUUCCUGCCUUGCCUUUGGCUUGGCUUUUUCUACUUGACCAGUGUCUUUUGUGAUGCUAGCCCUUACCUCCAGACUACAUCAGCCUAAUCAGACCAGUUUCUGCGGUUGCCUAUGCUUUGAUUAUGAUUGUUUAACAUCUACUGCAUUCACCGAGAAUCUUCAACUUUUAAU